CCUACGGGUGGCUGCAGUGAGGAAUAUUGGUCAAUGGCCGAGAGGCUGAACCAGCCAAGUAGCGUGAAGGAUGACUGUCCUAUGGGUUGUAAACUUCUUUUAUCUGGGAAUAAAAUGUUCCACGUGUGGGUUUUUGUAUGUACCAUAUGAAUAAGCAUCGGCUAACUCCGUGCCAGCAGCCGCGGUAAUACGGAGGAUCCGAGCGUUAUCCGGAUUUAUUGGGUUUAAAGGGAGCGUAGGUGGAUUGUUAAGUCAGUUGUGAAAGUUUGCGGCUCAACCGUAACAUUGCAGUUGAAACUGGCAGUCUUGAGUACAGUAGAGGUGGGCGGAAUUCGUGGUGUAGCGGUGAAAUGCUUAGAUAUCACGAAGAACUCCGAUUGCGAAGGCAGCUCACUGGACUGCAACUGACACUGAGGCUCGAAAGUGUGGGUAUCAAACAGGAUUAGAUACCCUGGUAGUC
rnacentral:rRNA from 1 species